UACGGAAGGCAGCAGUGGGGAAUAUUGCACAAUGGGCGCAAGCCUGAUGCAGCCAUGCCGCGUGUAUGAAGAAGGCCUUCGGGUUGUAAAGUACUUUCAGUCGUGAGGAAGGUGUUAAGGUUAAUAACCUUAGCAAUUGACGUUAGCGACAGAAGAAGCACCGGCUAACUCCGUGCCAGCAGCCGCGGUAAUACGGAGGGUGCGAGCGUUAAUCGGAAUUACUGGGCGUAAAGGGCACGCAGGCGGUUAAUUAAGUUGGAUGUGAAAUCCCCGGGCUUAACCUGGGAAUGGCAUUCAAGACUGGUUAGCUAGAGUCUUGUAGAGGGGGUAGAAUUCCAUGUGUAGCGGUGAAAUGCGUAGAGAUGUGGAGGAAUACCGGUGGCGAAGGCGGCCCCUGGGACAAAGGACCUGACGCUCAUGUGACGAAGCGGUGGGGAGACAAACGAGGUAUUAGACUACCCUGUGAACGUACUCGACCGAAGGCCAACAACGGGAAGGGGU
rnacentral:rRNA from 1 species